rnacentral:lncRNA from 1 species
AUAAAACAUGAUAAUAUAGGCUAUGCCUGUGUCGUUAUUUACGUGACGAUAAGUGAUUGAAUGACAAUUAAACAUGAUAAUAUAGGCUAUGCCUGUGUCGUUAUUUACGUUACGAUAAGUGAAUGACAAUAAAACAUGAUAAUAUGGGCUAUGCCUGUGUCGUUCUUUACGUGACGAUAAGUGAAUGACAAAAAUGAUUGUGUUUAUUUUCACACGGCCUGGGUCGUUGCUUACACUUGGGACAACAUAUAACGAUUCAGGCAAUGUGAAAAUGGCUUGCAUGAAUCUUAAAUAAAACAUGAUAAUAUAGACUAUGCCUGUGUGGUUAUUUACGUGACAAAUAAAACAUGAUAAUUUAGGCUAUGCCUGUUUCGUUAUUUACGUGACGAUAAGUGUGAAAAUGGCUUACA